UGAUCCGGUGGUAUUAAGUGGGAAUGCCAUCGCUCAACGGAUAAAAGCUACCCUGGGGAUAACAGGCUUAUCACUCCCAAGAGUUCACAUCGACGGAGUGGUUUGGCACCUCGAUGUCGGCUCAUCGCAUCCUGGGGCUGUAGUAGGUCCCAAGGGUUGGGCUGUUCGCCCAUUAAAGCGGUACGCGAGCUGGGUUCAGAACGUCGUGAGACAGUUCGGUCCCUAUCCGGCGUGGGCGCAGGAUAUCUGAGAGGAGCUGUCCUUAGUACGAGAGGACCGGGAUGGACGGACCGCUGGUGGACCGGUUGGCUUGCCAAAGCCAUGGCCGGGUAGCCAAGUCCGGAAGGGAUAAACGCUGAAGGCAUCUAAGCGUGAAGCCCCCCUCAAGAUGAGAUAUCCCAUUCUUAGUGAAGUAAACCCCCUUGAAGACGACGAGGUAGAUAGGGCAGAGGUGGAAGUGUGG
rnacentral:rRNA from 1 species